UAGUCCACGCCCUAAACGAUGCUAACUCGAUAUUUGGAUCUUGAAUCUGAGUGUCUAAGCGAAAGCGAUAAGUUAGCCACCUGGGGAGUACGUUCGCAAGAAUGAAACUCAAAGGAAUUGACGGGGGUCCGCACAAGCGGUGGAGCAUUUGUGGUUUAAUUCGAUGAUACGCGAGGAACCUUACCUAGGCCAUAAUGUGAGCGCUAUCUGGUGAAAGCCGGAGUUCCUUCGGGACGCGAAACAAGGUGCUGCAUGGUUGUCGUCAGCUCGUGCCGUGAGGUGUCAGGUUAAGUCCUAUAACGAGCGCAACCCCUACCGUUAGUUGCUAGCAGGUCAUGCUGAGGACUCUAACGGGACUGCCGGUGCAAACCGUGAGGAAGGUGGGGAUGACGUCAAAUCAUCACGGCCCUUACGUCCUGGGCUACACACGUGCUACAAUGGUAUAUACAGAGGGCAGCUACCUAGUGAUAGGAUGCGAAUCUUGAAAGUAUAUCUCAGUUC
rnacentral:rRNA from 1 species